AUGAGGCGUAAUAGUUAGUAUCAUUGUUUCUUCUUUUCCUUUUUGCGAAAAGUAUCCCUUGUGCUCUUCUUUCAAUUGUUGCUAAUGUUUCAGUCCUUCAUUGGCUUGUGUUUUCACUCUUUUAAUCUUUCUUGUUAGAACAACUAUAUAUCUUUGUGGUCUUGGCAAUGAUGUCAUAUUGUCAACUAUGCAGGGAUUUGAAAUUAUCAACCUGAUUAUUGUUGUGAAGCGCUGCCUACAGGUUAGGAAAAAUUGGCUCAUUCAAGUCUUACAAUUUAAUUAGUUGGAUUCUUUUUUUCCUUCUAAGGAAACAUUUUCUAUCUUUUAAAGUUUUAAAAUUAUAUUAGUAUAUUAUUAAUUGUUUAGAUAUUCUGCGGGCAUCUCUUGGGCUUGCAAAAGAUCUUAAUGCUAUUUGAUUGCACUUAGAGGGACUCAUGAAAGCAGGUUUUGCCUAUACUGGUGCUUCAUAUUUUUAUCAAUUGUAUGAUUACAUGUUUUACCUCAACUUUGAUGCUUGAAUUAAAUCGUUUCAGUACUAUCUUCUUCUAUGAAAGAGUAAAAACACGAAAUUGGUUUCACUCCUUGCCUUAAUAUGCAUCAUCUUUAUGAUGCCCGAGGGCUUAAGUUCCGCAGUGCUGCCAAAACUUAGUCAAGUGUUUCAAGUAUGAAACAUAAAGGAAAAUUAUAUGGGAUUAUAAAAAAUAAAUGACUAAUGCCAUUAAUAAAAAUAAACUAAUUUAUUUAAAACAGAAUCAUGGAUUCAAUAAAUUUUGACAUAAAACAAAAAAUACUUCAAUGAUAAUCACUUAAAUACACAAGCAAAAGAAAAAAAAUCCCAUCAACUUAUUUUCACGCUGGAUCUGGUUUAGGAUCAUUCCAACACUAUCCAACAAUAAAGUUUCCAGAGUAACUUUAAUGCUUGCAGCAUCAUUUCUUUCCUUCCACUCAUCAAUUAUUGCCUUUAGAGCUACGCCAACAAUCGAAUUUGUGCUCUUUAGGUUCAAUCCUCACUUUGGACAAACAAUUUCCUCAGUAUUCUCAAACUAACAAACCAUUUGAGAAUUGUUGUCCUCUUAUAUGUUAUUCCACUUUCUAUUGUUAUUGGAUCAUUCAUAAUCUUUUAUAUCAACGGACAGAAGAAUGUAUCAUAUAUGAGCUCCACGUAUUGAGCCAUCUGUGGUAAACUGACAAAGGGACCAGCACUCCAACUUUCAUAGUCAUUUUUGUCUAAACUCUUCCUGCUUUCUAAAUUACCUGAUAACUGUUAUUCACUACAUAAAUUUAAACAUCACUGGAAUAUAAAUUUGUGUCCAUUUGUUCCCUAUCUCACCCUCGUAUGUCCACAGAAAACAAUUAAAGUUGCUCUUUUAACUCUAGAAUUCAAGUUUCAUUAACUACAACAUUUGAACUUUGGAGAGAAUCAAGUUAUGUGUAAAUUGAUUCCUAAUUGCUAUUUUUAGCAUUUAAUUUUCUGGCUGCCUACCAUGCAUUUUUUUUUUCUUUUUUGGCUAAUGUUGCACCAUUGCUUUAUGACAAUUAUUCUUUGUCUGUUAGCUUUUUGGUCAUCUAUCAUGGAAUUGAUUUUUUUUUUUUCCAUUAGUAAUCUCUAAAAAAAUAAAAAAAAUCCCAUUUUGUUGAUCACUUUUUAAGAUUUAGCUGUAAAUCGUAAGUGAUAGGUUUGCUAUGAUAGUACUUGUGGUUAAUUUGGAUAUAUCUUUACUCAUGCUUUUUAAUAUUUGGCUUUAAAUUUAUGAGCAAUGAGUUUUUUUCAGCUGGAUUAUCAUAAGAUUUUUCUUUGGGAUGUUAUAUUUUAUGCAAGCAUGUCUUGUUUCCAAGGCUUGCUCCUUCCUAAAGCUGCUUCACAGUUUCUGCAUUUGGGUACAUGGUUUGUAAUUUGGCCAAUCCACCUGUUAUUGUCUAAAUACUUUGGCAUCUUUCGUGUAGUUCUCUACUAAUAAUACGACACAUGUUUCUACUGCAUUUUAUAACUCACAUUGACUGUCUUACGGGGCUUCAUAUGAGCUCUUGCAGUUGGGAGCUUCUGUACUUCAUCUUGAAGAUCAUAUUGCUAGUUGUUGUGAUUGCCCCCAUUCCAUUUGGAUUGGGUUGUUUCAGUUUGGAGUAGAUUGUAGCAGGGGCUUUUCACGCAGAAGAUAAUGUUUUUAUUGGGAAUAGUAUUUGUUGACCUCGCAAAUUGGACCCUCCACGUGGUCAACCGAUAGCUACUCCACGUAUUCUUCUCUACGCUCAGUCAACGCACGGUCAGAUGCACACGACCGGAACCAGCGAGGGUGGUGGCGACCGCAUACACUCCGACGAUCAAGUUAGCCUCAGGUGAUCGGAACAAUACCUAGGUUGUGCAAAAUAGUGGGGAUGAGAAUAUAUAUUUGCUUGUUAUGGAAAGAUAUGUUGUAAGAGUUUCAUUACCUUUACCUCUUGUCAAACCUUGGGUAUUUAUAGGUGAGGAGAAUCGUUGGAUGUGGGACACGUGUAUGCAUCUGACGGUGUGAGGCGUUUGCUCAUAGGCUUCAAUCAGUCGCGUCUAUAGAGUGGGCGGGUAAUUACUUCUCCCGAGUUGAGUUGACAUAAAGUUGAUACAUCACAUCAACUAGGCUCAUGGAGAUGUCCAAUCAAUUAAACCUUGGGGGCAGAAAGGACCUUGACAUAGAUCUUUUUCUGAAAUUGGCGGCAGAUCCUCUGAUAGAGAGCCUCAAAAUGUAGUGCGCCUCAACUUCAGGGGCUAGGACGCUUCGAUCGAUUCAGUAAAUUGUCUGUAUCUCGUAGUGCAUUAGCAGAUCAACAACAUUGGUGGUGGUGUUACUUCGGAACCACUUCGGAUGGGUGUUGAACACCUCGUAUUAUAACUCCAAGGUUAGAAAUCGGACAGAGAGAUCAGACCCCAGUAGAAUAAAGUUAAUUAAUUUUUGUGGUGGCUUCGACCUCUUUUGUAAUCCAAUUCCAAAUGAAUGAAAUGAAUUUUUUUUGUUAAGUAUUGUUGCUUCUGCUUUUCUAUUGUGUUGAACCGUUUACAUUUGAGUAUAUGAAUGACAAUCACUUAAGUAAACAUGAUGCGCCAUUUACCAAUAAUCGGUUAAUAACAGAAGAUCGGACUAAUUAACAUAUUGAAGAGCUGAGGUAACAAUUUACUAACCGAUGUGACAAAGAACUAAAGUAUCAUUACUUAGAGAAGUUACACCACCCUUCACUAAGGGAUUUUUAGCACUUAGUAAGAUAGAGAAGUUACAAAUGAGAUCGGAUCAUGACAUAUUCAUUAGACAUUGAGAUUGGAUCGGAACACAAGUUCAUCACUGAUCGUACUUCCUCAAGUGUUCGAUGUUCCAUUGAUGAGGGAGUGCUUUCCCUGCCAUGUCUUCAAUUUCAAAAGUGCCAAGUCGGGAUUCCCUAAGGAUGCAGCAAGGACCCUCCCAGUUCGAUCCCAACACUCCGGACCCGGUUGGCUUUGAUGAUUGGAAGACCCUUUUUAGGACGAGGUCCCCCAGACGAAGAGUCCGAUUUCUGACCUUGAAGUUAUAAUAGCGGGUCAUCUUUAUAUGAUACUUUGUCAAGUUCACCUGGGAGGCAUCCCUCCUUUUUUCAAGGAGGUGAAGUUCGUUCAUUCGAGCCUCGUCGUUAUUGAUCUCAUUGAAGUGUAUUUGACGGUACGAUAGGACUCCUACCUCAACCGGGCUCAUGGCCUCGGCUCCGUAGGUCAUUGAGAAUGGUGUCUCCCCUGCUGCAGUUCGGCUAGUUGUUCUAAUGGCCCAGAGGGCGUGGGGAAGCUCAUCGACCCAAGCCCCCUUCGAGAUGUCAAGCUUCAUUUUCAAGGUAUGCUUGAUUGUUUUGUUUACUGCUUCAACUUGCUCAUUUGCUUGUGGGUGAUGAGGCGUUGAGAAAUCCUUCUUUAUGCCCAGUUCGUCGCAUAAGUCUCGCAUUUUCUUGUUGUCGAACUGUUCCCGUUGUCGGAUACUAAGGAGUGGGGAAUGCCGAACCUAUAAACCUAUAAACGAUAUUCUUCCAGACGAAUUUUGUAGUAUUUGCCUCGGUGAUCUCGGCAAGAGGUUCAGCUUUGAUCCACUUGGUAAAAUAGUCGAUGGUGACAAUGGCAAAAGUCGCGCUUCCUCUUCCUUUUGGGAGUGGGCCAAUGAAGUUGAUGCCCUAUUUGGCGAACGGCUAAGGGCCGGUCACUACGGAGAGGCUCUGAGAAGGUUGGCUUUGAAUAUUUGAGAAGCGUUGGCACUUGUCACAUUUCUGGACAAACUGGCAAGUAUCCCUUUCAGGGUCGCCCAAAAGUAGCCUUACCGGAGUACUUUGUGUGCCGGAGCCGUUCCUCCGGGGUGAUUCCCACAGAUUCCCUCAUGGAUUUCCCUGAGUAUAUACAUUCCCUCUUUGCCUCCUACACAUCGGAGAAGUGGCGAGGCGAAGCCUCUUUUGUAGAGGACAUUUUCUUGUAGGACGAAAUGUGCAGCCCUUCUUCUUAACUUCCUUGCCUCGCUUCUAGAAGCUGGUAGUGAUUGGUUCUUAAGAUAGGCGAUGAUGGAUUGCAUCCAUAACGGGGUGCCUUCUAUCCAUAGCAUCUCUUCACCUCCGGAAAUGGAGGGCUUCGAUAAGUGUUCAAUGGGGACAACCUUUAGUAGCUCUGAAUUCUUGCUGCUGGCCAAUUUUGACAGGGCGUCUGCAUGAGUAUUCUCUAGGCGUGGGACUUGAAUCAGCUCGAACCUUUCAAAAUGAGGAACUAGGUCCAGAACCAAUUUCAAGUAUGCAACCAUGCUACUGUCUUUGGCUGCGAAGUUUCCAUUGACCUGACUCACUACAAGUUGAGAAUUGCUGCUUGUUAGAAGCCCUCUAACCUGCAUUUCCUUCGCCAGUCUAAGGCCUGCUAGAAGGGCCUCAUAUUCAGCAGCGUUGUUCGAGGCUUUGAAGCCAAACCUUACUGCGCAAUUUAGUUUGUGGCCUUCGGGCUUUCCAAGUCGAUCCCUGCCUCAGAGCCAACCUCUCCUGAGGAUUCAUCUACGAACAGUUUUCACGUUGGGGGCUUGGCUGGUUCCAUUGUCACCUCCAUUUCUGGGGUUUUGGCAAAUUCAGCCACAAAAUCUACAAAGGCCUGAUCCUUGAUGGCAUGUCGAGGUCGGAAUAGUAGGUCGAACUCACUGAGCUUGAUUGUCCAUUUUAGCAGGCGUCCUGAUGCGUCUGUUCUCUGCAGCACUUGCUUCAAUGGGAAGUUGGUGAGAACUUCAAUUGAGUGGGCCUGGAAGUAUGGCCUCAGUUUCCUUGAGGCUGUGACGAGGGCAAGUGCCAGUUUCUCCAUGUCUGGGUAGCGUGUUUCAGCUAGGAGGAGUGCUUUACUGACAUAGUAUACCGGCAACUGGUGCCCAUUCUCUUCUCUGACUAGGACUGCAUUGACCGCCUCGUCUGAGACCGCCAAGUACAGGAGUAGUGAUUCUUCUGGUUGAGAUUUGGACAACAGGGGCACCUCUCCUAAGUGCUUCUUCUGCGCUUGGAAGGCUUCUUCGCACUCAUAAGUCUAUUGGAACUUCUUUCCUUGUUUCAGCACAUUGAAGAAGGGCAAGAUCUUAUCUGUAGCUCUGGAGAUGAAGCGACUGAGAGCGGCUAUCCGACCAUUGAGGCUUUGGACCUCCUUUGGUUUUUGAGGUGACCUCAUUUCAAGCAAGGUCAUUAUCUUCACUGGGUUUGCUUCGAUUCUUCUUUGGUUUACAAUAUAUCCCAAAAAUUGACCCGAAGCCACUCCAAAGGUGCACUUGAGGGGAUUUAACUUCAUUUUAUAUUUUCUAAGUAUCUAAAAGGUUUGGUCGAGAUGACUUACGUGUUCGAUGGCCUGAAGGCUUUUGACUAGCAUAUUGUCCACGUAGACCUUCAUGGUUUUGUCAAUGAGUUCGGCAAAUAUCAUGUUGACUAGCCUCUGAUAUGUAGCUCUAGCAUUUUUCAAUCCGAAGGGCAUGACUUUGUAGCAGUACGGUCCUCUGUCUGUGAUGAAUGAUGUAGCCUCCUCAUCAGGUCGGAACAUGGGUAUCUGGUUAUACCUUGAGUAUGCAUCCACGAAGCUCAAGAGUUCAUGUCCGACGGUGGAAUCCACAAGUUGGUCUAUCCUUGGAAGUGGGAAACUGUCUUUAGGGCAUGGCUUAUUUAAAUUUGUGAAGUCUACGCACACCUUUUACUUUUCGCUGGGCUUCUUCACCAGGACCGGGUUGGAUAUCCACUUCGAAUAGAUGGCUUCUCUGAUGUAGCUGCUGCGGCUAAGUUGGUGUACUUCGUCUUUCAGCGCCUCAUACCGUUCUGGGUUGAGGGCACGUCUUUUUUGCCUCUGUGGGGCAUCGGAAGAGUUGAUGUUAAGAUGAUGGCAACUGAUCCUUGGAUCUAUUCCCACCACGUCUUCAAUCUUCCAAGCGAAGACAUCCAAGUUCUUUUACAGGAAGCUCACCAUUUCUUUUUUUGCUUCGGGGGACAGUGCCUUUCCUAUUAGCAGGACCUGAUUGGGGUCCUCUGGGUUGGCGAAAAAUGUUUCAAGUUCUUGCAUUGGGGUUGCAUUUAGCUCGAAGUCAAUGAUCCGGGGAUCUAAUUCAUCAAGAGGGUGCCCUUCUUCAGAGGCCUCUUCCAUGUCGACGUCUUCCUCCUUUUCGAAGGUAUGCCCUUGUUCAGGGGCGUCGAGCAUUUUCACGUCCAAAUUGAGUUCACUGACAACUUCAAUUAUGAUCACGUUAACAGUUCGGGGCUCCAAUUUUCGCAGAGAGUUUAAGUAAUAUGUCCUGGAGCCCAUCUGAUCGCACCGUACCGUGGCAAUCCCAUGUUCAGUUUGGAAUUUCAUGCACAAGUAGUGGAUGGAGGUGAUAGCCCAAAGAUCUUUUAAGGCGGGUCUGCCCAAUACUCCAUGGUAGGCUAAUUUGUGGUCUACCACUAAGAAUUUCAUGAAGUGUUGGGCCACUAGAGGAGCUGAACCCAUCUCGAUAGGCAGAGUAAUCCGCCCUCGUGGGACGAUGCUGUCUCCAGUAAAUCCGAACAGUGGAUCGGUCAUGGGGAUCAACCCAUGUUCAAUUUGCAUCUUGUCGAAGGUGGAGCCGAACAGUAUAUUCACCGAACUGCCAUUGUCGACGAGCAUGCGUUUGAGCCCGUUUCUUGCCACUACGGCUCUUACAACCAAUGCGUCACAAUGGGAGUGGUGAACUCCUUGCGUAUCUUUCUGGGAGAAGGUGAUUGGGGCCAUCCUAUUGGCCUCUUGGGACUCGUUGACAAUGUAGGUGAGCAUUGGUGGGUCCUUUGCUUCCCUUGUGUAAUUCCUUUGGGUGUUCCUGGUGUUGCCACCGAUAUGAGGUCCCCCAAUGAUCAUGUCGAUCUCCCUGAUGAUUUGGCCUCCAGAAAAUGGGGCCUGAUCUCUCUGUUUGGACUCUCUUCGGUCCCUUGAUUCUCUUCUCUGAGGUGAUUGCUCUCUAUGCCACUGCUCUCUAUGCCUUCUCUUUCCCCUAUUCGAGGAGGCGGAUCUAUGAGGAUAUUCGUUCCUCCUGGAGGGAUGUGGGUUGCUCCGAUUCGGGCGUCGAGGAGCGUCUCUGCACUCGUUGGUGUCAUGCCCAUGGAGUUGGUAGAAAGUGCAAAACCUUGCCCUUUCCAAGGGCCUGUUUGACCACUUCUUCUUCUUCUUUUUAUUACUAUCAGUUCUUCCAGAUGGCCCUGCUACGCCAAGGAAAUUCUCGUAUGCCAACACCGGCACUGCAUUUAGAGUGGCGGAAGCCAGUGCCUGUCCGGAGGUGGGAGCUAUUGUAUUACCUGCUUGAGUCCAUUGUUGAGUGACAAGGUGUGCUGCGGGUCCUCGACCUACCUGCCUUUGAGGCGGAGGGAGUCCCUGCACGGCACGAUUUCAGUGAUCAAUCAUCUAUUCACUGACGAUCUCAACUCUCAUCAUUUCUACCAGUUCGUCAUAAGUGGUGGGAUUUUUGCUGCGCACAUCCCUCCAGAAUAAAGUGUUCAUGUUGAGGCCGUCUUUCAAGGCCGAAAGGGCUUCUCUGUCAGUGACGUGCUUGCAAUACGUGAUUUCGUCUGUAAACCUGGCGAGAUAGUUUUUCAGCGUCUCUCCAGGGGCCUGCCUCAUAUCUUACAGGGGUUGCACCGGGGUCUUUCCUCUGCGUGAGAGGUACUGGUUCAAGAAUGCCUUCUUCAAAUUCGGCCUGCUCCUAAUGCUCAGGGGAGGAAGUCUGUUGUACCACACUUCAGCAGCUCCACCUAGGGUUAAGUGGAAGGCUCUGCACUUCAAAGUAGGCGAGGCUCCCCUGAGGCUCAUCUAUGUCAUGUAGUUGGUGAGGUGCUUCUUCGGGUCCCCCUUUUCUUCAUACUUGGGGAUCUUGAGGGGCAUGAAAUUUGCAGGCAUUGGUAAACAUCGGAUUUCCUUUGAGAAAGGGAGGUUAUCAUCGUCGUCGUCAAUUUCAUAGGAUCGACAAUGCCCAUCUGACUCUUCAUCAUCUUGAGUGUUCUGGGGAGGUGGAGGUGCUUUUCCUCGACUGGCCCAAUCAACUAAGUCCCUUCUCUUCUUCCUAUUUCUAGGAGGAGGAGGUGCUUGUUCUUGCUCCUGUUCUUGUCGAACUGAUCUUCGCACUGAGCGGACCCUAUUACUAGGGUCCUGCCCUAUUCGGUCGAAGACGCUGACUGACCUUUGUGCUUUAUAUUCUUGAGGGAAAUUGUCCCCCAAUUGUGGUUCUGAUGGCUAGCUCCCUUACACAUUGGAUGUGGCUUCCGCACCCACUUCUCUUUCAAGGGGGUGUUUUCUGUGCUGACUCACGUGGUCUCGGGAACGAGAUGCAGAGGCUUCCUGAAUUGGGUAAGAUCCUUGGGGCAUUUGAGAGCUCUGGUGACCUCGGGCUUGCAUGAGAAGUUCAUGCAUCGCCAUAUUCUGGGCUGCGAUGUCUUUCAUGUCCGCAGCUAUUUGAGUCAUUCCUUUAGUGAGCAUGACUGUUCUUUCAUCUCGACGACGUCGGUGAUGGGGUCUCUGGUGAGUGACAUUGUUACGGAGCACCUCUUCUUCAGAGGCCUCUCUCAUAGGGUUCUCGUCUUCAUGGUUGUAACUUAUCUUAUCUUUUUUUUCAAGGGUGAUAAGAACUUGAAUUAUUACUCGACUUUGCUCUUUUUCAAGAACGUGCCCUUUUCAGGGUAAGCCACUAGUUUUUCGGUGGUUUCUCCAGUGGAGAAUGCAGAACUUUGGACGGGAAGUUUCCCACAGACGGCGGCAAUCUGUUGACCUCGCAAAUUGGACCCUCCACAUGGCCAACCGAUAGCUACUCCACGUAUUCCUCUCUGCGCACAGUGAACGCACGGUCAGAUGCACAUGGUCGGAACCAGGGGGUAGUGGCGGCCGCAUACACUUCGACGGUCAAGUUAGCUUUAGGUGAGCGGAACAAUACCUAGGUUGUGCAAAAUAGUGGGGAGGAGAAUAUAUAUUUGCUUGUUAUGGAAACCUAUGUUGUAAGAGUUUCAUUACCUUUGCCUCUUGUUAAACCUUGGGUAUUUAUAGGUGAUGAGAGCAGUUGGAUGUGGGAAACGUGUAUGCAUCUGAUAGUGUGAGGUGUUUGCUCAUAGGCGUCAAUCAGUUGCGUCUAUAGAAUGGGCGGAUAAUUACUUCUCCCGAGUUGAGUUGACAUAAAGUUGAUACGUUACAUCAACUAGGCUCAUGGAGACGUCAAAUCAAUUAAACCUUGGGGGCAGAAAGGAUCUUGACAUAGAUUUCUUUUUGAAAUUGACGGCGGAUUCUCUGACAAAGAGCCUCGGAAUGUAGUGCGCCUCGGCUUCAGGGGCGAGGACGCUUCGGUCGGUUCAGUAGAUUGUCUGUGCCUCGCAGUGCGUUAGCAGAUUGACAACAUUGGUGGUGGCGUCACUUCGGAACCACUUCGAAUGGGUGUUAAACACCUCGUAUAACGUGAUGAUAGACUUUUCGAAGUGGUUCAGAUAGGAGCGUAACAAUAUUGAUUGGAGAGACACUUUUAAAAGAGCAUACAAAGGUAAUAAUGAACUAUGUUGCUAGUUAACCAAACAAUUUCAAAUUGCUGACAACCAUCAAUAUAUUCAUUGACAUUUGAUGAGUUUCAGAGCAACAUGGGAAAUUUUGUAAAGUUAGGUCAAUGAACAAGGACGACUUGCUAAAAAAUAUUUGGAGUGCAGAAAACUAUGGGAUCCAAUAAUGGAGGCAGUGGGGGGCGAAGCCAAGAAUGGGGUGGCAAUCUACAGAGGCGGGGAUCGUUCACACUGCCAUGUACAUUGAGUCAGAAGACAGUUGAUUAGGUUUCGAAGGAUAUAUCAAAAGAGUCUGGUGUCAGGAAGGAUGGGAGUGGUAUCGUAUAUUUUUAGGAGAAAUCGUGCUUUGGAGAAGGAUGUAGAAAGGAAUCAAAAGAAAAUGAUAAAAAACAGAGAGUCAGUUACAAGAUUAAGGGAUUGAAAGUAGGUAAAUAUCUCAAAGUUUUUGUUUAUAUUUUCAAAUUUUUUAUGGCAUGUAUGUGACUAUUUUCAUUAUCACGUGUCAAAAUAGUGGACUUAUGAAUCGUAAAUACAAUGUUUAACGGAAAAUCUAAUCAAAUGCUCGGAAAAUCCAUUCUUAGAAAUUUGCCAUCUCUCUAAUUAUGUGGAGGUAAUUGAAGAUUCCAGACACUGAAAAAAUUUGUUGUUUCCAUGAAACUUAGAAUAAAAAUUGGACACAUGCAAGACUGCUGCUUAUUGAGAAAGAUAUCAGAUAAAUCUAAUUUCAGAGAAAAAGUUAAGAAAAUAAGUAAAUCGACAGGUUAACUUUCAUCUACUUAUCCCUUUAAGGAUUUUGAUUAUCACUGACAUUAUGCUUUUAUCAUGUUGCAUAUGGCAAUCUAAUGUGUCAAACAGAUGAAUUCACGUCCUGAGAAGUUUAAAGCUUCCAUUUGCUACAAGAUAAUAUAGUAUGUGCUUUAAGAAACAAUAAUAGUUUGUUUUACUCCUGCAAUUGUUACACAAUGUUAACACGAUUCUUGUCGUAAAUUUUAAUUAAUCGGUCAAUUAUGUUAUUGUUUACAACGCAUAUUAACUUCCAUUAAACCAUUUUUUAUUUAGUGUUUUCCAGGCAUACUCUACUAUGGAGUUGAAAGCAGAAGUUGCAAAACUGAAGGAAGAAAACCAAGAAUUGCGGAAGAAACUGGGAAGCGUGAAUUUGACUAAUCUCCAUUUCCAUUUCUGUAACUUCUUAUUCUUAUUAAAUUAUAUCUGAUUUAUACCAUUUGGGUAUUCUAUUAUGUAGGCAGGAAUUAUGGAAUUGAUGAGGAAUCAGAUACCUGUCACCGUAAUCUUUCCCUUUAAAAAAAUUUAACUUACAGGUAUUUGGUGAAACCUGG
rnacentral:lncRNA from 1 species